ACGUAGGUGGCAAGCGUUGUCCGGAAUUACUGGGUGUAAAGCGCGUGUAGGCGGGAGGCCAAGUCUGCUGUGAAAUCGCUCGGCUCAACUGGGCGGGGUCGGUGGAAACUGGUCACCUGGAGGACGGUAGAGGCGAGUGGAAUUCCCGGUGUAGUGGUGAAAUGCGUAGAGAUCGGGAGGAACACCAGUGGCGAAGGCGGCUCGCUGGGCUGACACUGACGCUGAUGCGCGAAAGCUAGGGGAGCGAACGGGA
rnacentral:rRNA from 1 species